GUGCCGCCACGUAGUUGGCAAAGU
rnacentral:siRNA from 1 species